UACGAAGGGGGCGAGCGUUGUUCGGAUUUACUGGGCGUAAAGGGCGCGCAGGCGGCGCAUUUUGUCAGGCGUGAAAGCCCCGGGCUUAACCUGGGAACUGCGUUUGAUACGGAUGGGCUAGAGUUCGGGAGAGGAGAGUGGAAUUCCCAGUGUAGAGGUGAAAUUCGUAGAUAUUGGGAAGAACACCGGUGGCGAAGGCGGCUCUCUGGACCGAGACUGACGCUGAGGCGCGAAGGCCAGGGGAGCAAACGGG
rnacentral:rRNA from 1 species